UGUAAAAUACACACACGUGAAGACUAUGUAUUUAUUGGUACUUACCAAAGGAAGGAACCAAAGCUCUCUCAUUCAUAUUCGCGCCAACCAACCAUCAAUGGUGACCAACGAAUAUACAACAAAUAGUAACGAAAACUACUUCACAGCACGGAAUGAGGAAUAUAUUAUACAAACACGUGACAUGCCAAAUUUAUUCAUAAAUUUAAUAUACUCGUUAUCCUGGUUAAAAGUAGAGAGAUAGAGACAAUCAAAUAAAUACACUGGCGUUUGAAUGACGGUUCCAUCAAUCGUACCAAUAACAGAAUAAAUAAGCAAGGGAUUUUCAAAAUCACACCAUCACCCGCAAUUUCUUUCCCUAUUAGUAGCCUGAAUCAUCCAGAUGAAAAUGAUUUAUACACACCGGUGUACAACCAAUCCAGCAGAAACCCCCGCCCCUCAACCGGUGUACAACCAAAUACACGCUGCUGCCUUAUCCUCAACUGAAAAAUAAUAAAUGUCAAAUGUCUAAAAAGCUAAACCUACUAUUCUUGAUCUUAGCAAACCAGACAAUACAUUAACCAGAUAAGAAAAAAAACAGGUCCAUCAAAUAUGCUAAACUCAUGCAAGAAGCACCGAAUAUUGAAAUUAAAUAUAUUACUAAACAAGAUACUAGAUUAUCAAAAAAAAUAAUUACCAACAAGAUAGUACUAUAUAAGUAACAAAUAACAUUCUAACAAGCAAGAAGCUUUCUAGUCAAACCAUUUAAGUAACUACCCUCCACAUCAUAAGAUUCAUUAUCAAGAGUCCAGCCAUUGAGUAAACCAGGAAAUAUCACAGAGCACAAUCACUUCCAUUAAAAAUCCAAAAGUGCAUCAAUUUAAUAUAUUUGGCAUGUCUUUUCUACACAAUCCAAAACCAAUUAACCAACAGGAAUAGAUUUCUACACAUUAUUUUUACUAGUGGGAAUAUGUACGAUCAGAAAGGGUGGGCUUGAUGGUCAAGGGUAUAAUUUAUGGACAAUCCUGAGGUCAAAGAUUGCUUUUUCAACACUUCAGGCCAAGGUUUUGCCCAUCAAUCCCCCCUGUAACUAACAAACAACUACACUUCAACCCCAGGCAAGUUGAGAUCGGCUAUGUAAAUUCUCAAUGUCCAUGUCGAUAAAUUUUAGUCUGUCUUAUCUUGUAAUGUGAGGAUUCAGUAUAUUGACUAGUUUGCUGGUUGUCUACUUAGGACCGGUCAAUGUGAGCAAGCUCACACAAGUGGAGUUCCCUCUGUAACCACCGGGAAACAAAAAGGUGUUUUUAUGACUAAGAAAGACUUUGACUUCAGGAGCAAUAAAAAUGUUAUAUGCAUUGCAACAGGUGGACUGCAUAGAAAAAAACUUGCAGAUGUUAAUGAAGUCAAACUCUACCUGCAGUAUGAAAUACAAAACCAAAAACAAAUUGUAAAUGUGAUUUCCAGAUAAUGUGUAUCUGC
rnacentral:lncRNA from 1 species